GCGAUUCUAUCUCUAUUCUUCCAAGAAACGACAAAGCUCUUUCUUUCCCACUCGACAUGUCUUCUACCCGAGCAUGGCGCGAGCUGUAGACUCGCGUUUCUAUCAAGAGAAAGACUUUCCAUAGCAACGGAUAAGUAGCUAGUGAUGGGUCGUUCUGCGAUGAAUUUACGUUUAGUUAGCCAAAAAAAAUGUGUCAAUGCACUAUUUUUCACGCAUGAACCUAUACAUAAACUCACGUAACUCAAAGUAACAACAAAACGUAUUCAUCGAACUUAUUUUUUAUCUGUGGAACUAAAAUGGUUCAUGUUUGUUUGUUUACAAAAAACGAUUAUUGUUGUUGAUUUUAAGUAUUUAAAUAUUGGUGAUUACUGCGUGCGGCAAGGAAAAACGUACGAAGUCCCAUCCAAUAAACAGAGAAGAUAGUAUCCCGAUCCAUUGGGAAAAGAAGGCCACGAUAAAGAAGAAUAGGUCCGUAUUCAAACGCUGCUGAAAAAAUAUGGAAAAGAACGAGUUCUUGGCAUACAAUGUUGACACGAGAAUCAUUCUAUUAAUUACAAAAAAAGGAUGCUAAAUGACAACUGGGUUGUCAGUUUACAAAUUAUAAAUUCUUGAAAUGAUAUCAUUUAAUAAAGAAUGUGAAUAUUAAAAUCAUAA